GGUGCGCGCUUGGUGUAGGAGGACUCGACCCUUUCUGUGCCGUAGCUAACGCGUUAAGCGCGCCGCCUGGGGAGUACGGUCGCAAGACUAAAACUCAAAGAAAUUGACGGGGACCCGCACAAGCGGUGGAGUAUGUGGCUUAAUUCGAUGCAACGCGAAGAACCUUACCAAGGCUUGACAUGUAUUGCUAAGCACGCGAAAGCGUGUGACCCUUCGGGGACCUUACACAGGUGCUGCAUGGCCGUCGUCAGCUCGUGUCGUGAGAUGUUUGGUUAAGUCCAGCAACGAGCGCAACCCCUGUGAAUAGUUGCCAGCACGUAAUGGUGGGGACUCUAUUCAGACUGCCCAGGUCAACUGGGAGGAAGGUGGGGAUGACGUCAGGUCAGUAUGGCCCUUACGCCUUGGGCUGCACACGUACUACAAUGCCCAGUACAAUGAGAACCGAGACCGCGAGGUGGAGGAAAUCUGCAAAACUGGGCCCAGUUCGGAUUGGAGGCUGCAACUCGCCUCCAUGAAGUUGGAAUCGCUAGUAAUGGCACAUCAGCUACGGUGCCGUGAAUACGUUCCCGGGUCUUGUACACACCGCCCGUCACAUCAUGGAAGCCGAUCGCACCCGAAGUAUCCGCGCUAACUAUUUAUAGAAGCAAGGUCCUAAGGUGUAGUUGGUAACUGGGAUGAAGUCGUAACAAGGUAACCGUA
rnacentral:rRNA from 1 species